rnacentral:lncRNA from 1 species
GCUGCUAAGAUGGAGUCGUGGCUGGCUGGGCCAAAGCUUUUUAGACACAGUGGGCUCCAAAGAAGGGGAAGGAUUCACCCCAGGUCACCCACCAAGCCAAGGGCAGGGGCAGGAUGCAAAGCCAGGUGUCCCUUGAGUCUCCACUCGUCACCUCUCUCUGCCAGAGCUGAAGGCGACUUCUAUCCAUUUCACAGGCAAGGAAACCGGAGACAGGCCCAGAGGGGGCGCAAGACGGAUUACAGGAUGAGCUUUAAAUCAGGCCUGGCAGGACACUGCGUGUAAUGGAUUCCUGUUGGCGGGAGCAGCAUUCGUGGCCCCUGUGGGUCCAGGCAGCACCCAGAGCGAUGUCACUCUGGAUCAACGACAGGUGGCAGCAAAGGACCAUGGCCAUGAAGCUCCAGGACCUUCAUCAGCAACUCAAAGGACCUGGGCUCCAGUCCUUCACCAGUCCUGCACUGCCUUGUGGACUCUGCCGUUCCUGCUCCAUCCUGCAAACUUCCUCAAAGGAUUGUCUAUAAGGGCCCGGUCAUGGGGCCACCCCAUGGCUGAGUGGUUAAGUUGCGCGCUCUGCUUCGGCGGCCCAGGGUUUCGCUGGUUCAGAUCCUGGGCAAAGACGUGGCACCGCUCAUCAGGCCACACUGAGGCA